rnacentral:tRNA from 1 species
UGAUAAUUAGUUUAAAUCAAAACAAGUGAUUUCGACUCACUAAAUUGUGCGCUAGCAUGAUUAUCAA